rnacentral:rRNA from 1 species
CGGCACGGGUGAGUAACACGUAUGCAACCUGCCUGCCACAGCCGGAUAAUCGGGAGAAAUUCCGUCUAAUACGGUAUAAUGCAUCGACGGGACAUCCUGUUGGUGCCAAAGGUGAUUCCGGUGGCGGAUGGGCAUGCGUCGCAUUAGUUAGUUGGCGGUGUAACGGACCACCAAGACGACGAUGCGUAGGGGUUCUGAGAGGAAGGUCCCCCACACUGGUACUGAGACACGGACCAGACUCCUACGGGAGGCAGCAG